rnacentral:rRNA from 1 species
AGUGGCGAACGGGUGAGUAAUAUAUCGGAACGUACCCCAGAGUGGGGGAUAACGUAGCGAAAGUUACGCUAAUACCGCAUACGAUCUAAGGAUGAAAGUGGGGGAUCGCAAGACCUCAUGCUCGUGGAGCGGCCGAUAUCUGAUUAGCUAGUUGGUAGGGUAAAAGCCUACCAAGGCAUCGAUCAGUAGCUGGUCUGAGAGGACGACCAGCCACACUGGAACUGAGACACGGUCCAGACUCCUACGGGAGGCAGCAGUGGGGAAUUUUGGACAAUGGGCGAAAGCCUGAUCCAGCAAUGCCGCGUGAGUGAAGAAGGCCUUCGGGUUGUAAAGCUCUUUUGUCAGGGAAGAAACGGUGAGAGCUAAUAUCUCUUGCUAAUGACGGUACCUGAAGAAUAAGCACCGGCUAACUACGUGCCAGCAGCCGCGGUAAUACGUAGGGUGCAAGCGUUAAUCGGAAUUACUGGGCGUAAAGCGUGCGCAGGCGGUUUUGUAAGUCUGAUGUGAAAUCCCCGGGCUCAACCUGGGAAUUGCAUUGGAGACUGCAAGGCUAGAAUCUGGCAGAGGGGGGUAGAAUUCCACGUGUAGCAGUGAAAUGCGUAGAUAUGUGGAGGAACACCGAUGGCGAAGGCAGCCCCCUGGGUCAAGAUUGACGCUCAUGCGCGAAAGCGUGGGGAGCAAACAGGAUUAGAUACCCUGGUAGUCCACGCCCUAAACGAUGUCUACUAGUUGU